rnacentral:rRNA from 1 species
UUAGGAAUAUUCGUCAAUGGAGGAAACUCUGAACGAGCAAUGCCGCGUGAGUGAUGAAGGCCCUAUGGGUCGUAAAACUCUGUUGUGAAGGAAGAAUAUCUGAAAUAGGUAAUGAUUUCAGACUGACGGUACUUCACCAGAAAGCCCCGGCUAACUACGUGCCAGCAGCCGCGGUAAUACGUAGGGGGCGAGCGUUAUCCGGAUUUAUUGGGCGUAAAGCGUGUGUAGGCGGUUUAUUAAGUAUAAGAUUUAAGCCUGGAGCUUAACUCCAGUUCGUCUUAUAAACUGGUAGACUUGAGUGUGGUAGAGGCAAGUGGAAUUUCUAGUGUAGCGGUUAAAUGCGUAGAUAUUAGAAGGAACACCAGUGGCGAAGGCGGCUUGCUGGGCCAUUACUGACGCUGAGGCACGAAAGCGUGGGGAGCAAAUAGG